rnacentral:rRNA from 1 species
AUUGAACGCUGGCGGCAUGCCUUACACAUGCAAGUCGAACGGCAGCACGGGUGCUUGCACCUGGUGGCGAGUGGCGAACGGGUGAGUAAUAUAUCGGAACGUACCUUAUUGUGGGGGAUAACGCAGCGAAAGCUGUGCUAAUACCGCAUAAUCCCUAAGGGGGAAAGCGGGGGACCGUAAGGCCUCGCGCAAUUAGAGCGGCCGAUACCUGAUUAGCUAGUUGGUGAGGUAAAGGCUCACCAAGGCAACGAUCAGUAGCUGGUCUGAGAGGACGAUCAGCCACCCUGGGACUGGGACACGGCCCAGACUCCUACGGGAGGCAGCAGUGGGGAAUUUUGGACAAUGGGGGCAACCCUGAUCCAGCAAUGCCGCGUGAGUGAAGAAGGCCUUCGGGUUGUAAAGCUCUUUUGUCAGGGAAGAAACAGCAGCUCUAACACAGUUUGCGAAUGACGGUACCUGGAGAAUAAGCACCGGCUAACUACGUGCCAGCAGCCGCCGUAA